CUCGGUAUGCGCAUCGCCACCACCCUCGCUGCAGAGGCCGCCGCCCUCCCAGCGCGCCAUCACCGCCUCCUCUGCCUCUUCCCCUCCCUCAGCCCCGGCCCCUGCAUUGACUUGGCUCGGGCUGCGCCUCACUGCGCCUGCCAACUGUCACACGCUCUGAGGCUUUCAACAGCGGGGCGCCAGGGACAAACAAGCCGCGGCAAGCGCAAACAGCCUGCUCAAACAGGGACGGCCAGGGUGUUGUUUGACCAGCACUGGAAUUGGAAACUAGGUUUCGAAGAAGUCAAAUCGAAGUACAAUAUUGUAUUUUAAACUGCCUGUUGUUAUUACAUCCCUCACAACGCACGCUCUACUUGAAACUUCCAGUGGAUACCAACUGCACUUAGAAUAAAAAAUGAAACUCCUUGCCUAACUCUGGGACCUCAUCAGCACAUACUCACCAUAUUUUGGUAACAAAGGCCUUCAUGCUGUUCCCGGAAGUCGCCAAGUUCCAUCCAUCAUUGUUAAUAAUUCCUUUUGCUCGCUCCUCGCACAAGAACUGUUUCUUCUGCUUAGUGCUUUGCCUACUGAUUCCAUCUUGUCAUUUAAGUCUCGGCUCAAAUGUCACCUCUGCAAAGAACCCUUGUCUGACCAUACAUCUAAAAUAGCCACAAACACUCUAUAAAGACUUGGCCUUGCUUUAUUUCCUUCUCAGCACUCAUCACUGUCUGAAACAAUGUUUUGGAUUUGUUGCUUAUUAUCAGUCUCCCUUCUCAAGAAUGCAAGCUUUGUGAGGGCAGAGUCGUAAUCUUUUUUAAGGCUGUAUCCCCAAUGCCUGGAUUGCCCAACACUUGCUUCAUGCUUCAAGCACAUCAGGGUGCUUUCCACUUCUGGAUGAGCCAAGUGUUUCCUCAGCUUUUCUGCACCUUCCUCUCCAUUGACCUAGAGUGUCUAUGGAACACUCAGAGUGUCCCCUGUGUAAACCACCUACCACAAGAUUAUCAACUUCAGGCAAUGGACCACGCACCAGGAUUCCACCUCUUUCUAGCACCUAUCAGUGUUGCGCACAUCAUAGGCCCUCAACAAACAGGCAGCCACGCUGGGGGAUCCCACAUGGUAAAGAACUGCAGGUGGCCUCUAGGAGAUGAGGGCGGCCUCCAGUCAACAGCCAGCAAGAAACUGAAGUGCUCUGUCCUACAACCUUGUGUAACUGAAUUCUGCCAACAACCUGAGUGAGACUGAAAGUGGAUCCCUCUCCAGUCAUGCCUCAGUGUGAGAGAAACCUGUGACUUGCUUCUAACCCAUAGGAUAUGGCAAGGAACUAGUCAUAUCUGAGAGCAGCCUCCAGAAAACAGUCAGCAAAACACUGAGGUUCUCAAUCCGAUAGUCAAUGAGGAACGGAAUGCUGGAACAAUGAUGUGAGCUUGGAAGCAGAUCCUUCCCUUCUGCUGGGCCUC
rnacentral:lncRNA from 1 species